CACUCAAAGGCCACUGCCCCAGAUGGCAACAAACCCUGACAUUAUUCACUUGUUGCUGAUUUUACCACCUAGAUUUCAAAGAAGGUUUGGGAGGCCAGGCAAGGAAACCCUCAGAAGGUAAUGUGGGAAUGAAGCCAGAGAUGCAGUGGAUACCCCAGGAAGUCAGAAAUGCCAAGAAUCUGGAACCUUUGCUGUAGAAAGCUGCAGGGAGUAAGGGACUUGCAGCUAAGAAUUUGCCUUAAAUCUCAGAGGAGACUCUGGACUUGGACUCUUCAGCAGUGCUGAAACUGUCAGGACUUUGGCAACUCUUAGAGACGGAUUAAAUGCCUUUUGCAUAAAGGGAUAUGCAUGAGUCUUAGGGGAUCAGGGGCAGAACGUGAUAGCUCAUGUUUAAAUGGCCCCUCAAAGCCUCAUAUGAUCAUAGGUGGCUGGAUCUAGAGUAUGUGAUGCUAGAAUUGAUUCUUGGGGCAGUGCUAGGCUCAAGAGCACUAAGAUUAAAGAUUUGAGUGCUACUUGCUCUAAGUAGUCUGGAUAAGAUAAAGAGGGCAGAAAGACACUUAAACAGGUCUCUUGAGCUUAACACUGCCAUGAACUGUCACCCCUCUGCCAUGUGCCGCCUUGGCUUGGAGCCAGCCAAUUAUGAAAUGAAACCUUUACAAAUUGUGAGCUAAAUAAACCUUUCCUCCUUUAACUUUGGGUGUUUUGUCUCAGCAAUGAGAAAAGUAACUAAGACAUUAUCAGUUGUAUCUAAAUUUCAAUUUCAGUUUUGCAGUUGUAGUUCUUUUUAAUAACCUGUUGUGCAAUGUUUUAUAGCUACUUACUACAGAUUUGUCCAGGUUUGGAUAAUUUAAAUGUUUUUUCAAACAUGAUAGGCAGUUGUUUGUCAGUUUGUAUCUGAUAAUUCCUCUAUCUGAGUCAUGGUGGAUCUAUUGCUUUGGUCCACUGUUCUCUGGUUCUCACUCAUGUGAUCUCAGUUCCCUUUGCUCUGGUAUCUUUGAGAACAUACUGGACAUUCAAGAUAAAAAAAAACUCUCUGUAUAAUUUUAGGCAUGUAAUAAUGAAAUCCUCCUCUAGGGACAAUAACUCAUUUUGUUUUCUGGGGUUCAGUUAUUUUCAGUUGUUUAGCUAGAUAGGAAUACUGAAUGAGUGAUCACACAUGGAUCAUUAAAUUGUUAAACAAUAUGAUGCCCCAUAGGAAAAGACUUUAUGAACAAAUCCUCAGUAGCAUGGGAACUAGCACAAAGAAUCAACAACUGGGAUCUCUUCUUAUUAAAAAGCUUCUGCACAGCAAGAGUGACCACCAACAGUGUGAAGAGACAACCCACAAUGUGGGAAAAAAUCUUCACCUGCUGUUCCUCAAAGUUCCACUACCUAGAAUCUAUAAAGAACUUAAAAAGUUCAGACCUCCCAAAUUUAAAGACCCAAUUCAAAAAUGGGCAUCUGAAAUGAACAGACAUUUCUCCAAGAAGUAGAAAUAGCAAAUAAACAUAGGAAAAAAUAUUCAACAUCACUGGUCAUUCGAGAGAUGCAAAUGAAAACAACGCUGAGAUUCCACCUCACCCCAGAAAGAAUGGCUGCUAUCAUGAAAUCAACCAAUAACAAAUGCUGGCGGGGCUGUGGGGAAAGAGGAACCCUGCUCCACCGCUGGUGGGAGUGUAGACUGGUGCAAGCACUGUGGAAAUCAGUAUGGAGAUACCUCAAAGAACUAGGACUGGAAGUCCCAUUUGACCCUGCUAUUCCACUGCUGGGGAUCUUCCCCAAAGAAUUAAAAGAAUCAUACCACAGUGAUAUAUAGGCACCCAUGUUUAUAGCGGCACAGUUUGUCAUAACUAAAACUUGGAAACAGCCCAAUUGCCCAUCAACUGGAAACUGGAUAAAGAAAAUGUGGUUUUUUUAACUAAAAUGGAGUAAUACUCAGCCAUAAAAAGUGAGAAAUUAGAGACAUUUAUAGCUAAAUGGAUGCACAUUGAGGUGAUACUUUUAAAUGAAAUACAUAGGACACACACGUAAAUACCAAAUAGUUUCUCUAGUGUGAGAAACUGAAAAUGUAAAUAAGGACUAAAAGGUAUAAUAGAUAAUGUGAAAUAGGAAGAAAAGGGGCAAAAGGGAGGGGGAAGUGGGAGGGGUAGGGGAAAGGAAAGAAGGGAAUGAAAUUAAUAUGAGAAAAAGGAAAAAAUGGAAACAAAGUCUUUGUAAAUAAGGAAGGAUGGAGGGGUUGAAGGGAGGGUAGGGGAAGGGGGAAAAAAUAAGAACCAAGAGAGAUGAUGUAAAGGUGUAAAUUUCCAAUGAUAAAUUUCAUUGUAUUGUAUACCUAAAAUGUACCAAUAAAAUUAAUUUUUAAAAAUUUACAUGUGUAAAUACCAAAUAGUUUCUCCAGUGUGAAAAACUAAAAAUGUAAAUAAGGAUCAAAAUGUAUAAUUGAUAUUGUGAAAUAGGAAGAAAAGGUCUAAAGGAGUAGAGGAAGUAGGAGGGGUAGGGGAAAGGAAAGAAGCAAAAAGAAAAAAUAUGAGAAAAGGAAAAAAUGGAAGCGAACUCUUUGUAAAUAAGGAAGGGUGAAGGGAUGAAGGGAGGGCAGGGGAAGGGGGAAACAAUAAGAACCAAGAUACAUCAUGUACAGG
rnacentral:lncRNA from 1 species